UACGUAGGGGGCAAGCGUUGUCCGGAUUUAUUGGGCGUAAAGAGCGUGUAGGCGGCUAGGUAGGUCCGUUGUGAAAACUCGAGGCUCAACCUCGAGACGUCGAUGGAAACCAUCUGGCUAGAGUCCGGAAGAGGAGAGUGGAAUUCCUGGUGUAGCGGUGAAAUGCGUAGAUAUCUGGAGGAAUACCGGUGGCGAAGGCGGCAUCCUGGACCGGCAUUGACGCUGAUGAGCGAAAGCUAGGGGAGCAAACGGG
rnacentral:rRNA from 1 species